rnacentral:rRNA from 1 species
AUUGAACGCUGGCGGCAUGCCUUACACAUGCAAGUCGAACGGUAACGCGGGGCAACCUGGCGACGAGUGGCGAACGGGUGAGUAAUGUAUCGGAACGUGCCCAAUAGUGGGGGAUAGCCCGGCGAAAGCCGGAUUAAUACCGCAUGAGACCUGAGGGUGAAAGCGGGGGAUCGCAAGACCCCGCGCUGUUGGAGCGGCCGAUAUCAGAUUAGGGAGUUGGUGGGGUAAAGGCCUACCAAGCCUGCGAUCUGUAGCUGGUCUGAGAGAAUGACCAGCAACACUGGGACUGAGACACGGCCCAGACUCCUACGGGAGGCAGCAGUGGGGAAUUUUGGACGAUGGGCGCAAGCCUGAUCCAGCCAUGCCGCGUGCGGGAAGAAGGCCUUCGGGUUGUAAACCGCUUUUGUCAGGGAAGAAAUCUUCUGGGUUAAUACCUCGGGAGGAUGACGGUACCUGAAGAAUAAGCACCGGCUAACUACGUGCCAGCCGCCGCAGUAA